ACAGUAGGAGCCAUAAAGCAUAGUAAAUUCUGGGUAGCAGUUUAGCCUCUUAGACAUUUGGCUUGUGUGUUCCAGUGGUUACAUGACCCUGUGGGGAUAGAACUAAGAUUCAUUGCCUAUGCAAACAAACAAUACGGUAUAGACUGGAUCUCCUACUAAUCUUGAGGCCUUGGGGAAGUCAUUUAACCUCUCUGUUCCUGUUUCCUCAUCUGUAAAAUGGGAAUAAUCACAGAUCUAUCUCCUAAGAUUGUUUUGAGAAUUAAAUAAGAAAUUAUUUAAAAAGGGAUAAACGUGGUUUUAAAACUCCAAUUAUAUAAAAUGUGGUACAUUAUUAUACUAGACUUGGUAUCCAGUUACACAAUCCAAAUCCAUUUUGGUACUGGCUUUGGUUUAGUGGUACUUGAUGGCGGUUUAGUAUUACUGGGGAUAAUUCCAGACCCUGGGGCUGGCUGGGACUUCUAAAAUAAGGGCAGCUGCUAUUUUUUUUUUUGGUCACCUUUUUGUCAGCCUGAUCUAGGAAAAUAAAACCAGGAGACUUCUGGGAACACAGGGACCCAACUUUCUCCUUCUACUUCCUGACAAGUUGCCUGAUCUUUCUAGCCCAUUCUGCACCACUGUCCCUGCUCCACACCUCCCAAGAUUCUGCUCUCUUUGAGAAAGGGGACUAGGUAGAAGUGAGGAGCCAGUCAAGUUAUAUCCAAAUUCAGUUUAUUAUGGGGCACUUCUCCAUGGGGCUGUACUGUAUAUGUAUUAUAAUAAUUCCAUGUGCUUAGUAAGUAUACCAUAUGUGCUGGCUUAUUUGUUUUCACUCUGCUAGAAUCAACAAGAAGUCACACAAGAUCAACCCAUAUUAUUUUGUGGCUUAUGAGAAGCAACAUGCCAACCAGUAGUUAAUCUUCAUGGUGAAGCAAAGAACACAAAAUUUGGAUUUAAAAAAGAAAAGCUACAGAGAGGAAGGAAAAAGGCUGCUGCUCAUUCUAUAGUAUGGUAUUGUUCCUGAAAGAUCAUCCAUCCAUGAAGAAAACCACCAGGAGAAAUUUCACCUGCCAAACUUGCUGGGUAUGCCAAGAUUUCAAGGACUUGGCUGCUCUUUACUUGGGCCAUUUCUCAGGAUUGUGUUUGCAGCAAGAAACCCAAGGGAUGAGGUAACAUCUCCCUCUGGGACAAAGAACAAGCCUGCUUACUGACUACAAUGACAUGGCAGGUUCCCGCAGCUCAGCAUUCUUCUUCUGUAAUGUGACCUAUGGCCUGUGCAAGCAUCCACCUGAGCCCUUCACGUCAGACUUGGGAGGCAAGGGGAACUGAUGCAAACAAAUCUGAUGCUUAUGCUACCUGUUGUAUUAUGAGCAAUAAAGUCCUUUGUCUCUGACCCAGAAGUCUCUUGACUUCUGCCACUUCUAGCAAAUAGUAGCCAGCUAAUGUAUUAGGGUAAAAUCAAACCCCAGACUCAAGACUGUGUUCCAGAAUAGUUCCCCUCAUCCCUCCAUAAUUGGGCAAAAUCAUUGCACAAAUAUGUAUGGAGAACCUACUCUGUGUUAGACUAUGUGCUGGAUGCUAGGCUACAAUAGUGAACAAAACCAUACCUGUUCCUCUUCCUUAUGCAGUUUACAACCUAAAGAAGAAGUGAGAGGGGUGCCUCGGUCGCUGAGUCAGUUAAGCAUCCAACUCUUGAUUUCGGCUCAGGUCACGGUCUCAUGAUUCAUGGGAUCCAGCCCCAC